AGGUAGCAUAAUCAAUUGUCUUUUAAUUAAAGGCUUGUAUGAAUGGUUGAAUGAGAUAUAAUCUAUUUUUAUUUUAAUAUAAAUGAAUUUAUAUUUUUAGUAAAAAUACUAAAUUGAUAACAAAAGACGAGAAGACCCUAUAAAUCUUUAUUUUAUUUUAAAUUUAAAAUAUUAAGUAGACUAAAUUUAAUUUUUAAUAUAAAAUUUUAUUGGGGUGAUAAUGAAAUUUAAAUAACUUUUAUUUAUUUUUAUUAAUAUAAUUAAAUUUUUGAUCCUAUUAAUAAUGAUUAUAAAAUUAAGUUACUUUAGGGAUAACAGCGUAAUUAUUUUAGAAAGUUCUAAUUAAUAAAAUAGAUUGCGACCUCGAUGUUGAAUUAAGAGUA
rnacentral:rRNA from 1 species